rnacentral:hammerhead_ribozyme from 1 species
AUCCAGAUGACGAGUCUUAAAUAAGACGAAACACGCGUCCUGGAU